rnacentral:lncRNA from 1 species
UUGGAACCAUAGCAGAGUCUCAGGCAGAAAGGGAAGGGUCCACCUCAUAUGUGUAUUUCAGUAGAGAGAAGAGAAGAUUCUUCUCGUGCCUGUGUCUUUCUCAAGACAGUGCCAAGGAUCAACUGUCAGAGACGCUGAUUUCAAGAAACGGAGCCCUGUAGGCACCUGAGUUU